rnacentral:rRNA from 1 species
GCCAGCAGCCGCGGUAAUACGGGGGGUGCAAGCGUUGUUCGGAAUUACUGGGCGUAAAGGGUUCGUAGGUGGCUUGCUAAGUCAGACGUGAAAUCCCUCAGCUUAACUGGGGAACUGCGUCUGAGACUGGCCGGCUUGAGUGCAGGAGAGGAACGCGGAAUUCCAGGUGUAGCGGUGAAAUGCGUAGAGAUCUGGAGGAAUACCGGUGGCGAAGGCGGCCCCCUGGACGAAGACUGACGCUCAGGUGCGAAAGCGUGGGGAGCAAACAGGAUUAGAUACCCUGGUAGUCCACGCCGUAAACGAUGUCGACUUGGAGGUUGUGCCCUUGAGGCGUGGCUUCCGGAGCUAACGCGUUAAGUCGACCGCCUGGGGAGUACGGCCGCAAGGUUAAAACUCAAAUGAAUUGAUCGGGGGCCCGCACAAG